AGGUUUUAGCAUGGCCAGAUAAGGGCCGAGGUGGCAGCUUGGGCUCAUGGUGCCACAGCCAGAUGAGAUGCUGAGGUGUCAACUCGAGCAGAUGAAGGGCUGGGGUAGUAGUGCAGUAUUCGUUAGUUCACUCCUUGGCCACGCCAUGGUUAGGGAGAAAUGCCCUCAUCAAGCGGUAAAUUCCAUCCAAGGCUAAAUAUGGGCGAGAGACUGAUAGUGAAAAAGUACCAUGAGGGAAAGAUGAAAAAGACUUUGAAAAGAGAGUCAAAGAGUGCUUAAAAUUAUCGGGAGGGAAGUAGAUGGCAGACGAUGUGUCUCGAUCGGAUGCAGAAUGGUGAGUAGCAGAUCCACCGCUCGACUCGGGGCAUGGACCAAUGUGGAUUACGAUAGCAUCCCAAGCCUAGGUUGUCAUGUUAUGCCUGACGAGAUGUCGUUGCCGUGAUCAUGGUAGGCAGCAUGCGCCUCGAUGGUAUGCCUAUUGGCAACUGUAUACUCUAGGCAUCGGCUUAUCGGGCUCCCCAUUCGACCUGUCUUAAAACAUGGACCAAAGAGUCUGACAUGUGUGUGAGUCAACAGGCGAGUAAAACCCAUAAGGUGUAAGGAAUCUGACUAGUGGGAUCCCCUUAUCGGUUGCAUCGCUGAUCGACCUUGAUCAUCUGUGAAGGGUUCAAGUAAAAUCAUACCUGUCGGGACCCGAAAGAUGUUGAACUAUGCCUGAGCAGGGUGAAGCCAGAGGAAACUCUAGUGGAGGCCCACAGCGAUACUGACGUGCAAAUCAUUCAUCUAACUUGGGUAUAGGGCCAAAAGACUAAUUGAACCAUCUAGUAGCUGGUUCCCUCUGAAGUUUCCCUCAGGAUAGCUGGAGCCCACUGGCUAGUUCUAUCAGGUUAACCCAAUGAUUAGAGGCAUCAGGGGUGCAACACCCUCAUCCUAUUCUCAAACUUUAAAUAGGUAGGAUGGUGUGGCUGCUUUGUUGAUCCGCACCAUGGAAUCAAGAGCUCCAAGUGGGCCAUUUUUUAUAAGCAGAAUUGGUAAUGCUGGAUGAACCAAAAGUUGGGUUACGAUACCAUAUUGCACGCUAACCUAGAACCCACAAAGGAUGUUGGUCGAUUAAGAUAGCAGGAUAGUGGUUAUAGAAGUCAAAAUCCACUAAGGAGUGUGUAACAACUCACCUGCUGAAUCAACUAGCCCCAAAAAUGGAUGGCGCUAAAGCGCGUAACCUAUACCAAGCCAUCUGGGCAACUGCCAGGCCUCGAUGAGUAGGAGGGCACGGCGGUCACCGUAAAACUUGGGGUGUGAGCCCAGGCGGAGCGACCGUUGGUGCAGAUCUUAGUGGUAGUAGCAAAUAUUCAAAUGAGAACUUUGAAGGCUGAAGAGGGGAAAGGUUCCAUGUGAAUGGCACUUGCACAUGGGUUAGUCGAUCCUAAGGGACGGGGGAAGCCCAUUAGAGAGCGUGUACACGCACGUGCUCCAAAAGGGAAUCGGGUUAAAAUUCCUGAACCAGGACAUGGUGGUUGAUGGCAUUCUAAGGAAGUUCAGAGACAUCAGGGGGGGCCUCGGGAAGAGUUAUCUUUUCUGUUUAACAUCUUUCCCACCCUGGAAAUGGCUCAACCAGAGGUAGGGUAUAGUGGUUGGAAGAGCAUCGCACAUCACCUGGUGUCCAGUGCACCCUCGACGACCCUUGAAAAUUCGAAGGAUCGAGUGCCGACCACACCCGAUCAUACUCAUAACCACAUUAGGUCUCCAAGGUGAAUAGCCUCUGGUCGAUGGAACAAUGUAGGCAAGGGUAGUCAGUAAAAUGUAUCUGUAACCUCGGGAGAAGGAUUGGCUCUGAGGGCUGGGCACGGGGUCCCAGUCCCAAACCCAUCAGUUAUCGAUGGACUGCUCGAGCUACUUUCACGGCGAGUGCAGGUCACUACAUGUUGGUUGGGGGACAGAUUGGGAAUGGCCCCCUCGGGGGCCUUCCCUGGGCGCCGAACUGUCAACUCAUAAUUGGUACGGAUAAGGGGAAUCUUAUUGUUUAAUUAAAACAAAGCAUUGUGAUUGUCCUUGUGGAUGCUCACGCAGUGUGAUUUCUACCCAGUGCUCUGAAUGUCAAAGUAAAGAAAUUCAACCAAGCAUUGAUAAACGGUGGGAGUAACUAUGACUCUCUUAAAGUAGCCAAAUGCCUCGUCAUCUAAUUAGUGACGCACAUGAAUGGAUUAACGAGAUUCCCACUAAACUUGUCUACUGUUCAGCUAAACCACAGCCAAGGGAAUGGACUUGGAAGAAUCAGUGGGGAAAGAAGACUUUGUUGAGCUUGACUCUUGUCUGACUUUGUGAAAUUACUUGAGAGGUGUAGGAUAAGUGGCAGCUGGAAAUGGCGCAAGUGAAAUACCACUACUUUUAACGUUAUUUUACUUACUCUGUGAGUUGGAGACGGGGCUCUACCCCUCCUUAUGGACCCAAGGCCCACCUCAGAGUGGCGAUCCUGGUCGAGGACUUUGUCAGGUGGGGUGUUUGGCUGGGGUGGCAUAUUUGUUAAAAGAUAACACAGGUGUCCUAAGAUGAGCUCAAAGAGAAUAGAAAUCUCAUGUGGAACAAAAGGGUAAAAGCUCGUUUGAUUCUGAUUUCCAGUACGAAUACAAACCAUGAAAGCAUGGCCUAUCAAUCCUUUAGACCUUCAAAAUUUAAAGCAAGAGGUGUCAGAAAAGUUACCACAGGGAAAACUAGCCUGUACAACCAAGCGUUCAUAGCGACAUUGCUUUUUGGUCCUUCGAUGUCGGCUCUUCCUAUCAAUGCGAAGCAGAAUUCGCCAAGUGUUGGAUUAUUCAUGCACCAAUAGGGAGCUUGAGCUGGGUUUAGACCAUCAUGAUACAGGUUAGUUUUACCCUACUAAUAACAGUGUCACAAUAGUAAUUCAACCUAGUACGAGAGGAACCACUGAUUCACACAAUAGGUCAUCGAGCUUGGUUGAAAAGCUAGUGGCACGAAGCUACCAUAUGUUAGAUUAUGAUUGAACACCUCUAAGUCAGAAUCCAGGCUAAAGAAGUGACACCUAUGCCGUCACCCAUUUGUCGACCCACAGUAGGGGCCCUCCGGCCCACAGAGGCACGUGUCAUUGGCCAAGCCCACGCAGUGGAUGUGCUGUGUGGGAUGCCUUGAAGCAUAAUUCUUAUCGGGCAAUGGGUAAAAUAUAUUGCAGAUGACUUAAAUAUGAGAUGAGGUAUUGUAAGUAGCAGAGUGGCCUUGCUGCCACGAUCCACUGAGAUUCAACCCCAUGUCUCAUCGAUUCGC